AGGAUUACAUUGUUGUGAAGAGAUCUGACGAUCCUACAAUACAGAGAAGCAGUCCCUGUCUGUUAAGAGGAUCCUGCAAGACCCAGAGCUCCAGCACGGUCUGUCCACCUCACUCACUGAUACAUGAGGGAAACAAUGAGCAGAACAUCCUGGAACUGACCAAUCAGAUCAUCCACCUGCUGACUGGAGAGGUGAGGCUGCUGGGAAUGGGACAUCAUAGAGUAAAACCAAGGGAUGUGUCUGGAUGGUGACUGGAUAAAGAUGUUGGGAUCUCACUGUCUGUUAUUUCUUGUAGGUUUGGAAGCAUUUAAAAGGGCAAAAGGAAACUUACAAGGAAGUGAUGAUGGAGAGUCACCACCCCCUCAUCUCCUUGGGUGAGACGAUGUUUAAUCAGCAAUGUGUUUGGUUAUAGAG